rnacentral:lncRNA from 1 species
AUGAGUGGGUAUUGUCGUGGGCUGCAAUGUGCGGGGCUGUUUGUUACGCAGUCACAGGUAACCGAUACAGUUGGGAAGAUUCAAUGGUGGAGCCCAGGGUGUGGGUGGCUGGAGGGCAGGGGGAGGGGAGGGCAGAGGCUGGGCAGGUCCGAGUCAUUGCCCAGGCCCUGCGUGGUGAGGACACCGUUGCCAGCAGGCCCAGCUCCUGAGCCACAGGCGCCUGCCUUUGUGCCCCCCACUAUAGGCCAGGCGGCCACGCCCUGGGGCACGAGGCUCUCAGCUGAGAGCAGUCGGGAGGCAGAGCGGCUGAAACACAGAGGGGGCGAGUCCCCGAAAGAGAAGCGGGCAGGAGGAGGGCAGGCAAGCCCCGGACGAGGUCAUCCCCCCAGGGAUGCAGCAGGAACGCCACGGGAGGAGCCGAGCUCACGCCAGGAGGAGGUCCUCCCUCCGCACCCAGCACCUCCUUCUCUGGGGCCCCGUCUGGCACCUCUGUCCCUGCCCAUGUGGGACAGGCCCCCCGAGAGCGCGGAGAGGAGAGCAGCCUCCUCCCCUGGGUCCCUGUCGCCCCUGCUGCAGAAGGGCCGUCCCCAGCACCGCACCCGGGCCCGGGCCCCAGGCAGGGCACUGACCACACUUGCCAGCCCCCGGAGCCCUCCUGGCUAUAGGAAGCUGCUCCCUUCCCCCCUGCACACCCCCACCCAGUGCUUCCAAGAGCCCCAAGCAGGAGGCGCCCUAGGCGUGGGGCGGAAAGGCAGCUCGCAUGAGUUCUGGGGGAGCCCCUCGGGUCUGGGACGGGGUGCAGGCCGAAGUGAAGCUCAUGGCUCACCUGGGCUGGAACCAGACAGAAGGAGGGUGGGGGAAGGAGACGGGCCUCUUGCAGCCGGAGCCACCAUGAGACCCAGGGCACCCGCCACGUGGCAAUCCUGUGAGCAGAGCCCCGGAGGGAUCCCCGAGCGGGGAAUUUCCCCCCGAAUAAGGAAGUGUGUGCAGGGACACGAGGAGGGGAUGUGGUGGCCAGCCGAAGGCGCGACAUGCUGGGGCCGUCACCUGGCCCAUGGCAACACCCGCCCGAAGCAGCGGGUUCGUUUUUUCUUGGAUGUUUCUCUGGGUCAUGUCCUUCCGCUCCCUCCCAUCACCCACCUCGGGCAGGUGGCUCUGGCCCGCAGUCCAGGCCUUGCAGAGCCAGCCGCAGCGUUGGAUUCGGGGUGGCAUGUAGGGCGAUGUCAGGCCAAUCCCCCAACACGCACCUGA